CUCGCCAUUUUCGAGCGCCAACAGAUCUCUGCCUUUCCCUCUCUUCUCCAUCGCCUUAUUAUGGCCACAGCCGACGCCGUCGCCGCUCUUCCUCCACCGAAGCUGCCUUCCGACGCCACCGUCGAAGCCUCAGGAGCUGCCCUUUAUCCGCAGGAGCUGCCGGGAUGUUGAAAUCCAGAUUGAGCGCUCCAAUGGCUACCUAUUGAGCCUUUAGUUGGCCAGAAGUUAAAGAAGAAAACAACAGUCUGCCGGAGGGAUUGACGGUGACGGAGCCCAACUCUGUCUUAUGCUCAAUAGGAUCAACCAGGAGAUUCUGAAUCUUCUGGAUGGUGAGGAAAUAGCCAGGAGCGUUUACUAUUUUCCACACAGUGAACUGAGGCCUGCUUGGGGCAUCAUCUUUUGUGGCAUGCAUUUUAGAUACUCUGGGUUUCACAGUAUAAAAAAUUGGGGUACCAGUUGUUCUUUCUCAGACAUUGCUCAGAAGAAGACAAAGCUUGCUCCACUGCAGGUCUUUUACACUCCCUCUAUGUCCUGUACAUAGGUACUCUCAUAUUUUAUAAUCUUACAAAUGCUUCUCUUGUAGGAGCGGAGAAUGAUAGACCGCUCAAGUGUUUAUAUGUAAAUGCUAAAGAUUUCCCUUGAGCCAAAAUGCUAUUUGAAAGUAUUUACUUGAUCACCUUGCUUGAUGCUCUGAAUUAUGAAUUAUGCAUUAUAAUAAUCUGCAAGUGAAUCUAUGAGAGGAAGAAAAUUAAAUUGUGAAAUUUUCAUCACUUACUUUAGUUACUUAAAUAUAUUGAUUUAUAUUUCUCUUUGUUUCACCUCUGACCUUGAAAACAGAGGCAAACGAGAACUGGAAUUGGACUUCAAGAGAUAUUGGGAAGAGUUCCACUCUUCAAGUUCGGAAAAGGCUUUUCUUAGUUUGCAUAAAGAGAAGUUUAAUUUUAUCAAUUCAUACACUGGACAACAUCAUAGUGUUCUUUCUUUGGGCAGGAAAAGGAAAAAGCCUUGAUUAUGACUAUGACUGUUGAUGCUUUCUGUAAAUUAGUGAAGAAUCAGGCAGAUGUAGCUCAAUUAAUUACCAAGUUAGUAGAAACACAUAUAUUUUUCUUUUGUUGUGGGAAGAGCAUUUGUAAUAGAUAUUGAAAAAUUGAAGCUUAGCAGCAAAACCAGAUCUUUGGAAGUUGAGAAAGUCUUGAGCUUUUUCUUUGAAAUCACAAAGGAUGGUAUUAACCUUGGUGCAAAUUUAUUAUAUGCAGUGGAGGUCCUUGUUUCUAUAUCUUCAACAGUUAAGUGAUUAUCCACUGCCUUUUUGGUUGGCACUUUUUGUUGAAGGUAUCCGCUUUACACAGGCAAAGCUUUUAGCUGCUCAAGAAUAUGCUACCUCAACAGGCUUACUUGUUCCAAGAAAUUUUUUAAUUCCUCGUAUUAAGGUUUUAGUACUUGGUCAGCCUGGAGAGGAGGUGAGCUUGCAGUUAAUACUAAGAGUUGUUGAGUUGUUGCUGAUGUUGGUCUGCUUGCAACAACUUGUUCUAUAUGCUUGGGUUUUGAAUGAUCGAAACAUAAAUGCGUAUCUGUCAGGUGUUUGAGAGCUUCUUGGGGGCACAUGCUUUAUAAUUGGGAGACGGUGCUGCUUAUGUGUUAUCUUCUUCUUUGCUUUGUUUAACCCCAUGCUGUUGUUCCUUUGUUAUAUUGCUUGCAUUGUGACUUUAGUUGUAUAUCAUUACUUAAUGGCCAAGAUUUUUAAUUACCAAAAAUGUUUUGCCUCCA